UUUUACAAUUUUUUUUGUUGAACAAUAUUGGAAAUAUCUAAAGUCUUACCUUUUGGUCGAGGUGUCGAAUUCAAAUUAGUAUCUUCUUCCCAAUAAUUUCUCGAUAAUGGAAUAAGUUGGUUCAACUGAGAAGAAACAGGAACAUUACUCGAUGAUGGACGAUUCGGGUCGUUGCUUGUAACAUUAGCCUGAAAAUAAAUGAAGAUAUUCAAAAAAUUAAUAAAUUUAAAAACUAAUUUAAAAACAUUUAUUAAACUCACCUGUAUAUUGUAAAUUAACCGUUGUUCCAGCAUUUUAAAUCGUUUUUCGUUUUCUAUUUCUAACGCUUCCAUUCGUUUAUCAACGGCUUUGGAAACUGCCAAUUCAAAUUUUUCAGUGUUGUGCAUCUCAGUUUCCUCAUUGCUCAUUUUCUUUCUCCUCUUAUUUGCUAACAUAGAGUCAUCGCCAACUCUAAAUCCCAGAAUGCGCCCAUUUUUCUUUCCCUUUGAUGCUUUCAGCCAAGGUCCAAUAUGAUCGUUUUUAAACAGAGGCUUCGUAUGAAAUGUAGUUGAACCUUGAGACGAUAAAUUUUCAUCUUC
rnacentral:lncRNA from 1 species